GUGACGUAGGGUGGCCCGAGAACAUCUCGGCCAAUGGCGGGACGGCGAGAGACGGCGAGAGCCAACGGGAGCGGAGUGAGAGGUUCUCUGACCAAUUGAAGGUCAGUGAGAGGAGAUCGGGACCAAUGGCGACUCCGCGUCCCACUGCUGGGGAGAGAUGGUCAAAGUGUGGGAGGCGAGUUGGUCCCUGCUUGGGAGGCUAUCAGGUUGCCUAGCAACCACAGCUAUGCUUCUCCGGUAAAACGUUUGAAAUAUUUGAUUUGAAUUCAAUCUUGAGAUUUUCGAUUUUCCAGAGCAGCAAGGUGCGCCUGCAUCACAAGUUGAAGCACACUACUUCACCCAGAAUUUCUAAAUGUCCUCCAGAGAACAUGCUCCCAGCCUGCCUUGCUCAUUGCAGCAGAAGCUCAGAGUGAAGUGUGGAAAGAAGUCAAUGUCCAGACCAAAAUGCAUGAGAAGAACAGAUGAGGCCCAUGUGUUGCUGCUAUAGAGGCUAAAGCAGCAGAAACAAAGGAUGCUGGAGGACGGGAUGCUGGUACAAGCUGUCAGCUGUGUGCUUCUGCUGGUAAUAAGUCUCAAUGGAUAUGGAAUUUUACCAUCAGAUCCCUGAGAACACCUCUGCAGGACUGCCAUGCUUAUAACCCAAACAGUCCCUGUUGGCACUCUGACCUGUACCUGUGGUAUUCUGGACUAAUUCUGGACUAGUUCUCGCUUGUUCAUUCUCACAAGUUCUCACUUGUGGCUAAGUGUAACUUGUACACAAUAAAAAAUCCUUCUGCUGUCUCAGCUAAAGAAUAAAAACUAUUAAAAAAUAAUUUCAGAAAAAUCUUAUUUAUAGACUUUAUUUUCUAAUAAACAUUCAAUUUUUUGUAAUUAGAGUAAAAUAGUAAUGUUGUAGAGGGGGAAAUUAACAACAAUUUCCAUAAAAGCAAAAGUGCG
rnacentral:lncRNA from 1 species